CAGUAGCCACGGUAAUACGGAGGGUGCAAGCGUUAAUCGGAAUUACUGGGCGUAAAGCGUGCGUAGGCGGUUCGUUAAGUCUGUUGUGAAAGCCCCGGGCUCUACCUGGGAAUGGCAAUGGAUACUGGCGAGCUAGAGUGUGUCAGAGGAUGGUGGAAUUCCCGGUGUAGCGGUGAAAUGCGUAGAGAUCGGGAGGAACAUCAGUGGCGAAGGCGGCCAUCUGGGACAACACUGACGCUGAGGCACGAAAGCGUGGGGAGCAAACAGGAUUAGAUACCCCUGUAGUCCCUGUCUCUUAUAA
rnacentral:rRNA from 1 species